UAGCUAGUUGGUGAGGUAAAGGCUUACCAAGGCGACGAUCUGUAGCGGGUCUGAGAGGAUGAUCCGCCACACUGGAACUGAGACACGGUCCAGACUCCUACGGGAGGCAGCAGUGGGGAAUUUUGGACAAUGGGGGCAACCCUGAUCCAGCCAUGCCGCGUGAGUGAAGAAGGCCUUCGGGUUGUAAAGCUCUUUCGGCCGGGAAGAAAUCGCAUGGGCCAAUACCCUGUGUGGAUGACGGUACCGGAAUAAGAAGCACCGGCUAACUACGUGCCAGCAGCCGCGGUAAUACGUAGGGUGCGAGCGUUAAUCGGAAUUACUGGGCGUAAAGCGUGCGCAGGCGGUUUUGUAAGACAGGCGUGAAAUCCCCGGGCUUAACCUGGGAACUGCGUUUGUGACUGCAAGGCUAGAGUACGGCAGAGGGGGGUGGAAUUCCACGUGUAGCAGUGAAAUGCGUAGAGAUGUGGAGGAACACCAAUGGCGAAGGCAGCCCCCUGGGUCGAUACUGACGCUCAUGCACGAAAGCGUGGGUAGCAAACAGGAUUAGAUACCCUGGUAGUCCACGCCCUAAACUAUGUCAACUAGGUGUUGGGUGGGUAAAACCAUUUAGUACCGUAGCUAACGCGUGAAGUUGACCGCCUGGGGAGUACGGCCGCAAGGUUAAAACUCAAAGGAAUUGACGGGGACCCGCACAAGCGGUGGAUGAUGUGGAUUAAUUCGAUGCAACGCGAAAAACCUUACCUACCCUUGACAUGCCAGGAACUUGCCAGAGAUGGCUUGGUGCCCGAAAGGGAGCCUGGACACAGGUGCUGCAUGGCUGUCGUCAGCUCGUGUCGUGAGAUGUUGGGUUAAGUCCCGCAACGAGCGCAACCCUUGUCGUUAAUUGCCAUCAUUUAGUUGGGCACUUUAACGAGACUGCCGGUGACAAACCGGAGGAAGGUGGGGAUGACGUCAAGUCCUCAUGGCCCUUAUGGGUAGGGCUUCACACGUCAUACAAUGGUCCGUACAAAGGGUUGCCAAGCCGCGAGGCGGAGCCAAUCCCAGAAAGCCGAUCGUAGUCCGGAUUGCAGGCUGCAACUCGCCUGCAUGAAGUCGGAAUCGCUAGUAAUCGUGGAUCAGCAUGUCACGGUGAAUACGUUCCCGGGUCUUGUACACACCGCCCGUCACACCAUGGGAGCGGGUUCCGCCAGAAGUAGGUAGCCUAACCGCAAGGGGGGCGCUUACCACGGCGGGGUUCGUGACUGGGGUGAAGUCGAAACAAGGUAGCCGUAGGGGAACCUGCGGCUG
rnacentral:rRNA from 1 species